UAGGGAAUCUUCCACAAUGGACGCAAGUCUGAUGGAGCAACGCCGCGUGAGUGAAGAAGGUUUUCGGAUCGUAAAGCUCUGUUGUUGGUGAAGAAGGAUAGAGGCAGUAACUGGUCUUUAUUUGACGGUAAUCAACCAGAAAGUCACGGCUAACUACGUGCCAGCAGCCGCGGUAAUACGUAGGUGGCAAGCGUUGUCCGGAUUUAUUGGGCGUAAAGCGAGCGCAGGCGGAAUGAUAAGUCUGAUGUGAAAGCCCACGGCUCACCGUGGAACUGCAUCGGAAACUGUCAUUCUUGAGUGCAGAAGAGGAGAGUGGAACUCCAUGUGUAGCGGUGGAAUGCGUAGAUAUAUGGAAGAACACCAGUGGCGAAGGCGGCUCUCUGGUCUGCAACUGACGCUGAGGCUCGAAAGCAUGGGUAGCGAACAGGAUUAGAUACCCUGGUAGUCCAUGCCGUAAACGAUGAGCGCUAGGUGUUGGGGACUUUCCGGUCCUCAGUGCCGCAGCAAACGCAUUAAGCGCUCCGCCUGGGGGAGUACGACCGCAAGGUUGAAAC
rnacentral:rRNA from 1 species